rnacentral:rRNA from 1 species
UACGUUAGGGGAGAAAGACUAUUUUUGGCUAGCAGUUAAUUUUAUUUUUUAUUUUUGUUUUAAUUUUUAGGUGAAAUUUAUAAUUAAUUUUAUUUUAUUCUUUUUGUUCUGUGAAACUUGGAGUUAAGACAAGGAUUAGAUACCCUUUUAUACCAUGUGUUAAUUUAUUAUGCUUGGGUAGUAUUUGUUAAGUUCUUGAAACCUAAAGGAUUUGGCGGUAUUUUAGUCCUUUCAGAGGAACCUGUCCCUUAAUCGACAUUCCACGAUUUUAUUUACUUAAUUUUGUAUUCAGUUUGUAUACCUCCGUCAUAAGAAUAUCUUUUUAGAGUUAAUUUUCUUUUUUAUUAAAUAUAUAUAUGUCAGGUCAAGGUGCAGCUUAUAGUUAAGUGGAGAUGGGUUACAUUAAAAUUAUUUAUACGGAUGUACAUUUUUAUUUUGUGCUUAAGGUGGAUUUGAAAGUAAAUUUAUUUAUUAGGUUUUUUGAUUUUGGCUCUGAAAUAUGCACACAUCGCCCGUCGCUCUCAUAAUAAGGUGAG